rnacentral:rRNA from 1 species
AGUGAACGCUGGCGGUAGGCCUAACACAUGCAAGUCGAACGGCAGCACAGUAAGAGCUUGCUCUUACGGGUGGCGAGUGGCGGACGGGUGAGGAAUACAUCGGAAUCUACUUUUUCGUGGGGGAUAACGUAGGGAAACUUACGCUAAUACCGCAUACGACCUACGGGUGAAAGCAGGGGAUCUUCGGACCUUGCGCGAUUGAAUGAGCCGAUGUCGGAUUAGCUAGUUGGCGGGGUAAAGGCCCACCAAGGCGACGAUCCGUAGCUGGUUUGAGAGGAGGAGCAGCCACCAUGGAAUUGGAAACAGGGCCCGAACCCUACGGGAGGCAGCCGUGGGGAAUAUUGGACAAUGGGCGCAAGCCUGAUCCAGCCAUACCGCGUGGGUGAAGAAGGCCUUCGGGUUGUAAAGCCCUUUUGUUGGGAAAGAAAAGCGGCAGGUUAAUACCCCGCUGUUCUGACGGUACCCAAAGAAUAAGCACCGGCUAACUUCGUG